AAGUCGAACGAGCGAGAGAGAGCUUGCUUUCUUGAGCGAGUGGCGAACGGGUGAGUAACGCGUGAGGAACCUGCCUCAAAGAGGGGGACAACAGUUGGAAACGACUGCUAAUACCGCAUAAGCCCACGGGUCGGCAUCGACCAGAGGGAAAAGGAGCAAUCCGCUUUGAGAUGGCCUCGCGUCCGAUUAGCUAGUUGGUGAGGUAACGGCCCACCAAGGCGACGAUCGGUAGCCGGACUGAGAGGUUGAACGGCCACAUUGGGACUGAGACACGGCCCAGACUCCUACGGGAGGCAGCAGUGGGGAAUAUUGCACAAUGGGGGAAACCCUGAUGCAGCGACGCCGCGUGGAGGAAGAAGGUCUUCGGAUUGUAAACUCCUGUUGUUGGGGAAGAUAAUGACGGUACCCAACAAGGAAGUGACGGCUAACUACGUGCCAGCAGCCGCGGUAAAACGUAGGUCACAAGCGUUGUCCGGAAUUACUGGGUGUAAAGGGAGCGCAGGCGGGAAGACAAGUUGGAAGUGAAAUCUAUGGGCUCAACCCAUAAACUGCUUUCAAAACUGUUUUUCUUGAGUAGUGCAGAGGUAGGCGGAAUUCCCGGUGUAGCGGUGGAAUGCGUAGAUAUCGGGAGGAACACCAGUGGCGAAGGCGGCCUACUGGGCACCAACUGACGCUGAGGCUCGAAAGUGUGGGUAGCAAACAGGAUUAGAUACCCUGGUAGUCCACACCGUAAACGAUGAUUACUAGGUGUUGGAGGAUUGACCC
rnacentral:rRNA from 1 species